rnacentral:misc_RNA from 1 species
UUUCCGUAGGUGAACCUGCGGAAGGAUCAUUAUUGAACUACCGAGGUUCGAGGGCUGUCGUUGCUCCGAUAGGUCCUGCACCCCUGAGUGCAUUCACACCCAUCCAUCUUUUCUCUAAGAGCACUACCGGGGGGGUCCCUCUUUGGCUUGUCUGGAGGGGGGCUUAGGUUUUUACUCAAACUACAAUUAAUCGUAGAAUGUAAUUUUAGUUUUUGUGAAAACGAAAACCUUACAACUUUCAACAACGGAACUCUUGGCUCUCGCAACGAUGCAGCAAGA